rnacentral:tRNA from 1 species
GCCCGGGUAGCUCAGCUUGGAUAGAGCACAGCACUCCUAAUGCUGGGGUCGAGGGUUCGAAUCCCUUCUCGGGCG